rnacentral:rRNA from 1 species
AGUGAACGCUGGCGGUAGGCCUAACACAUGCAAGUCGAACGGCAGCACAGUAAGAGCUUGCUCUUACGGGUGGCGAGUGGCGGACGGGUGAGGAAUACAUCGGAAUCUACUUUUUCGUGGGGGAUAACGUAGGGAAACUUACGCUAAUACCGCAUACGACCUACGGGUGAAAGCAGGGGAUCUUUGGACCUUGCGCGAUUGAAUGAGCCGAUGUCGGAUUAGCUAGUUGGCGGGGUAAAGGCCCACCAAGGCGACGAUCCGUAGCUGGUCUGAGAGGAUGAUCAGCCACACUGGAACUGAGACACGGUCCAGACUCCUACGGGAGGCAGCAGUGGGGAAUAUUGGACAAUGGGCGCAAGCCUGAUCCAGCCAUACCGCGUGGGUGAAGGAGGCCUUCGGGUUGUAAAGCCCUUUUGUUGGGAAAGAAAAGCAGCAGGUUAAUACCCCGCUGUUCUGACGGUACCCAAAGAAUAAGCACCGGCUAACUUCGUG